UGGCGAUGAAACAGUAGACUGGUUCGGUAUCAGCCGAUUGUGGAGCCAGACCGUGGGUUAAGCGAGAACCCACAAGCCGAAUAGAUUCACCCGAAUCAAACCAAAACGCAAAAU
ncrna:unclassified sequences drum RNA